UAUACAAACAUGUUAGCAGUAUUUAUAACAACAUUUAGACAAGUAGAUUAACAUCUGAUUGCAUAUUAUAUGAUUGAAAUAUCAUAAUAAAGUUAUCUGAAAGAAAAAAAAGUGGAGAAAAAGAAUGACAGUUUUAUUGGCUUAAAAAAUAAUGCUUAAUAUACAAUCUAACAAUAAUGCCAAUUUACAAUAUAAUUUAAACAUACUCAUGCAUAUUGUUCCCUUGACUACAGAUAUCAACAAUACAUAAAUAUCAUCCAGAUACAAAUGCUGUAAGAAAAAAGACAGUGCUAGUUUUAUAUGUCUUUUUGUGUUAUGAGUAAGAAUGGACACAGAGUCAAAACUAAAUGAAUAGUUUCACUGGGUUGUUCUAACAUUGAAUCAACAACAGAAUUUAAAAAAUAAGUAAAUAUAAGAGGACUGACAUUUGAUAUUCUGGAUCCCCCAAGGAACAACCUUAUGAAAAAAUUGACUAAAGUGAGUAUCCUUAUAUACAUAAUCUAUCUUCUGACAUAAUAUUUUGGUAAUCUUUGUAGUUUUCCUUAAAUGUAUUAAGUAGUUUGAAGGCUACAGCAUAUAUAUCAGAUCAAAUUCAUAAGAACUAAUACUGUUAUCUAACGAAAUUUUAACAAUCCAAAGGCUGUCAUUAUUAUACCAUGUGGGACCCUGGUGGCCAAGUCCAAGUGAGUAAGUAGUCAAACUUCUCUAUCACUAGCUGUCAACACUGAGGUUUUGAGUUUGAAGCCCACACCUGUCAGGGGGACUCGACUCCAUUCUAAAUUGAUUAGAAUUUUCUGCUUUUCCUUCCAAAGGUUGGUAGUUUUCUCAAAAAUAAACAAAGAAAUAUUACAACAUGACUUUAAAAUAACAGAAUAUAUCAAACAAAAUUGAAAAAAAAUCUUAUUGCUUCAUUGCCCAAUCAGGAACUAAAUAAUUAUUAAGGGAGUAUGCAAUGUACUUGAAUACUAACAAUCUAAAAAAAA
rnacentral:lncRNA from 1 species